UACAGCCCAGAGCUAAAAGGGAGUGUUGCAGCACCGAUGCUCACGGCAGAUGAGGAGAAAUGCCUUAAUCUGAGUGAGAAGCUCUUCCUGGGAGAAGGCUUUUCUGCAAUCAGUGAUACAGGGCACAGGACUGCUCCUAUUGCAAAACACGUGGGAAAACCCUGUGGAAAGAAAUAAUGUAUGGGCAUUGAUCCUUACUCCAGAGCUACCAGAAGAGAACUAUGAAGCUGGCUCAAAGCAAGCUGGGCUUGCUGGAAACCAAAGGUAAAACAUCCGCAGUCCUCCCGCAGAGUGCAUAAACCGUGUUUGUGGUUACGCCGUAGCAGCAGGAGCAACUCUUCUGUGUCUCAGAGAACUUAGUGCUGUUCUGCCAUCUUUGCUCUUUGAAAUGUGAGAGCAAAAUUAAUUUCAGGAGAAGAAUAAAUGGAUUUAGAGCAAGGAUGAAUUUGCCUUCUAGUGCCACAGGAAUGCAAGAAAUCACCCAGUGAGAGAAAGAAGGCUAAACAAUGCAAACCUCUCAUAAAUCUGGGGAGAAAUUUUAAUCCAAAGUGCUCGCUGACCUUCACUGAUGCUCUCCUUCAUCUCACCAGUGUUUUAUUCUUCUUAAAUCCAGCCCCACCACUGGCAGACCAUCAGAGAAGUCAGUUCUUGCACAAACAGGAAGGCAGACUCCCUUCCCAUUAAUUGAGGUGGUGCUUCCAGUCCUCGGCCAGAGGACACAGGGGCAGGGAGGUGUUUGCUUCCAGGACCAGGACUGGAGCUGGUCUGGGAGAAAUACAUUUCCUGGGUGGGCAGAUCUGGCCCUUCCUGGUCAUCAGGUUCACAGCCAGCUCAGGGACAAACUCAGUGCUGUCAUCUGACCGUCCUGGGAGGAACUGAUUUCUAUCCUGAGUACUUCGUACCAUGCAACCAGGAGUGUUGGACCCCUCCAGAUGCCCUAUGAAUGCAUUUCUCGAAGACUGCCUGGGAGGAAACUCAAUCACAUUUCAGUUUAAUGAAGUGAUACACUAAGUGAUGAUGCCUGGAACCGACCUUGCUGGAUCUUCUUCCUGCUAUGACUGCCAUAACUCCCGCAGCAGCAGCUGAGAUUGCUCAGACUUCUGCAGCUCCAUGUGGAGCCUCACUGCUGGAUUUGGUCUUGUGUUACCCAGCUGAGAUGUGAUCCCGGCAGGUCUGGGUAGGGGCUGCCUCAUGCCAUGCUGGGCACAAUAGCAGUGUGCCUGUUGGCAGCUCAAUGGAAACCAACAGUGGAAUUACAGCAGAAAAUACAUGAUGGACCACAAAAGGCUUUGAAAGUUUUUUUCCAUGGAAGGCCAGUCCAAUCCCAUUAUAAUCCACAGUACAUCUGCAAUGCGUAGGACUUGCCGGUAACGUGGAUAUGCAUUAUUCCUUUAAUAAAAGCAAAUGAUGGCAA